rnacentral:rRNA from 1 species
ACGGCUGAGUAACGCGUGGGUGACGUACCUGUUGGUGGGGAAUAACUGCCCGAAAGGGUGGCUAAUUCCGCAUACGUCCUUCGGUUCGAUUCGAAGGGGAAAGCUUCGCAAGAGGCGCCGAUGGAGCGGCCCGCGUCCGAUUAGCUGGUUGGUGGGGUAACGGCCUACCAAGGCGACGAUCGGUAGCUGGUCUUAGAGGAUGAUCAGCCAGACUGGGACUGAGACACGGCCCAG